AGCGGGGGUGUGUGCGCGUCCAAGUGUGUGCGCGAGUGUGAGCACACGGGCGGGUGGGAGCGCGCUUUAGGGAUUCUGCUGGCAUCGCAGCGUGGAGAGCAGAAGGCAGGAAUCCGGAGUGCAGGGAAGCGCGGGGGCCCUCCCGCGCACACGCUGCGCGCUCUCUCCGGUGAACACACACUCAUAUACAAAUACUCUCUCUCAUACACACACACGCACACACGCGCACGCACACACGCCCUUUCUGCUUCGCUCAUUGCCGCUGCCACCAUCUCGGAGCUGAGCCCUGCAGAGCGGGAACCCAAGCUGGAGCAGGGAUCGGAGGCGAGCCGAGCCAGGUGAUGACGGCCCAGAGCGGAGCCGCGCGUGGACGGCGCGCUCGGAUGCCUCCUGUAUCCACAGGCCCUGAGGUACCGGUGCCUAUGGGCAAAGAGGCCAACUGAACCAGACCCAGGCUGCUCCCAGCCCAGCUGCACCCAGUACAACCCAGCCACAGGAGUCCUACUGAAGAGCCCUGAGCCUGGAGUGAGGCCUGAGUGAGGGAUCCUAAGGCAAUGUUCUGGCUGUCUUGAGUCUGUGGGCUGCAUGGCCUCCUGCCCAACUCUUGAGGCUCUGACCCUGUCCAGCCCUGACCAGCCUCAAGCUGAUUGCUGGCCCUACCUGGUCUGGGGAGCCCCUCGUGCUUCAGGACUCAGUCAAACACUGCAACA